ensembl:snRNA U6 U6 spliceosomal RNA
GUGCACACUUCAGCAGAACAUAUAAUAAAAUUGGAACUAUACAGGGAAGAAUAGCACAGCCCCUGAGAAAGAAUGACAUUCAAAUUCGUGGACUGUUCCAUAUUUUU